rnacentral:tRNA from 1 species
GCGCCCUUAGCUCAGUUGGAUAGAGCGUCUGGCUACGAACCAGGAGGUCGCACGUUCGAGUCGUGCAGGGCGCGCCA